UACUUAGUGGCAGACGGGUGAGUAACAUGUGGGUAUCUACCCUUUGGCCUGGAAUAACACGAGGAAACUUGUGCUAAUACCGGAUAAGUCUUUACGGAGAAAGCUUUAUGCACCAUUGGAUGAGCCCGCACUUGAUUAGUUUGUUGGUAGGGUAAUGGCCUACCAAGACUAUGAUCAAUAGCUGAUUUGAGAGGAUGAUCAGCCACAUUGGGACUGAGACACGGCCCAAACUCCUACGGGAGGCAGCAGUGGGGAAUCUUGCACAAUGGAGGAAACUCUGAUGCAGCGAUGCCGCGUGAGUGAAGAAGGCCUUUGGGUUGUAAAGCUCUUUCGUCGGGGAAGAAAAUGACUGUACCCGAAUAAGAAGGUCCGGCUAACUUCGUGCCAGCAGCCGCGGUAAUACGAAGGGACCUAGCGUAGUUCGGAAUUACUGGGCUUAAAGAGUUCGUAGGUGGUU
rnacentral:rRNA from 1 species